UGUCGAUGAAGAGCGCAGCCAACUGUGUGAAUUAAUGUGAACUGCCUACUGCUUUGAACAUCGACAUCUUGAACGCAUAUUGCGGCCAUGGGUUUUCCUGUGGCCACGCCUGUCCGAGGGUCG
rnacentral:rRNA from 1 species